CAGUAGCUCAGUGGUAGGGCCUCUGCCUUGUAUGCAGGAGGUCACAGGUUCGAUCCCCUGUGGGAAGGG